CACCUCGCUUGUUUAUUACCAAUGUCAUGUAUCAGCAAACCGCACUGUUUUGUUUCAACUGUGUAAGAUCCCAUCAUUAAUUGUUUGGAUCUGAUGAAAUAGAAGCCAAAGAGACGACUCUGUUUGCUGUCUGUCAGUAAGCAGACGGAGAUGAAGAAAAGAAAAGAGGGGAGGUUAAAGAGCUGGUUUAAUGCAAAGGAAGGAAGCUCAGAAAUAUUUUCCAAAAACAGAAGGUCAAGAGUUAAACUGAUGAAAGUAUGUGUCACCUCUUCAAAGGAUCUAAGGUUUCUGGUUUUUGGAGCUUCAGUGUUAUUAAGGCAGGGAAAUGUGGCGAUUUAUGAGGUGUGACAGAUCUCUCUCCACCUUCUCUUUAAGGAAAAGACCUGAAUGGUAUUGAAGACUUAAAGCAGGGCACAUAGGGGUUUCAAAGGCAGACAAGCAGAGAGAGAGACUGAAGCAGGGGACACACAGCUGGAAAAUGAACCACUGACUCCACAAGGACCAUGACUUGGGAUGAAUGGAAGCCAAGGCUGCAGGAGGGGAGAGUGUGACACACGAAAUGCAGUCCAUAUGUCCAGACCCUGUUUACCACUCCGCUGACCAAAGUUGCUUCCACUAUGAACUACCUCACCAAACAGAGAGAGAGCAGCAGGCCCUGCAGUAAACAAGUGUCCACACAACAAUGACAGAGGAGCGGAGAGCAGCUGUGGGCAGGUGGCCUCGGCUGAGUGAUCGGUGUUAAGGGGUCACGUGUUGGUCACACCUCCCAUCAAAUAUGCAGUUUGCCAGAAGUCGACAGAAUGUGGCACAACAAAGCUAGAUGAAACAGACAUUUUGUCCAGGACUUUGAAGCCAUCCAUCAAACUGACAACGGCAGUUCACUUUGAACCACAAAUGUGCUCAUUGUUGUGCUACAACAAAGUCAGAAGAUUCUUACAAUUGCCAGGAGUAAUUCUCAUGGAAAAGUUGCCUGCCUCCAACGCCUGUUCCCUGACAUGCUGUCAGUGUUUAUUGGGGGAAAACCACUUCCUCAGACCUCGGACCAGUUCUGUUUUCUUUCUAUGUUCUGCACCGAGGUCUGCAGAACCGGAGAAACUCUGUGAAGGAGUGAGAAAAAGGUUGUGAAUGUUUCUGUUGUUGAGUCAUCAGUUAGCUCUUUUGUAUUUAUGAAACAUGAGUUCUUUGGUAGCUGUGCAGUUGUCGGCCUCACGUUUACCUGGUCGUAGGUGGCAGGUUGUGUUUUGAUGAACGUUCAGGCCUCGUUCUACCACGGUACAAACCUGAUUUAAUACUCACACAGGAUGCCGUUUUAUGUGUGUGUGUCUCAGCGUCGUCCUCAGAUCCAAAGCCAGGCAGACAAACAAACUGUGUGUGUGUGUGUCAUGUGUCUGUGUGUGUGUAGGUUCCUGCAUUUGAAAUGUGUUUAGUUUGGAUUUUGGGGGGAAAACUUCACACUGCCAGGGUCUAAAACAUCUCUGUCUGUCCAGAGCAGAGAUGGCGGGGGUCCCAAGUAACUGAUCUGAAUUCAGUGGGUGGUUGUAAAUGGUUCUAUCAGUUUGCUGCUCAGGACUACAGCACGAGAACGGCCAAAACUGACAACUGUAGCACAGGCUCAGCCGUGAGUCAAAUUGUUUCAUUACAGUACAUCAAACAACAAAACACCCACAGGAUGAGAGCGUUUCCUCUUCUUACACAUCCCCUUCAUCUGUGCUCCAAACCCCUGGGGAGAUUCUUCAAAGAUGGCCACGGUCGUCUGCUGCAUCACAGCAGCAGCAGUUUGCUUUCAUUCCUUUAUUCUAAUGUCUCUGGCUCACCUCUGUGGUCCCAUCGUUUCCUUGUGAGCAGACGGAAACCUGGUUGUGUGUUUUGUGUAACCAUCGCUCUGUUAUAAGGCAGACAUCCAUUAAUGAAAGUGCAGUCUGUGCCUUCCUGGAUGUUGGCGCUCCCUCAGACAAAGCUAUUUUAGAGUUGUGAUACCGGAAAACACAUUCACAUGCACACACGGGCCUGUAAAUAGAGCCGUGGGCCUUGAUGCCCUCAAAGACGCCGGGGGUAGAAUUUCCGUCUGAGUUCCGAGACAGGAUCUUCUGCAUGGUGUACAGUAUGGGAACGGGCUGAUGUGAGAUGAAGGGUGGGAGAGGAGAAGAUGUGUCACUGGGUUUAAAAUAUUUGACCAGCCAUCCAUCCAUUCAGGUUACAACUGGUUAUGAAAAGAGGUCAAUUUGUCCAACAUAUAUCACUGGGACCAAAUGACCAGUAUUUUUUCCCCUUUUUUAUUACAUAAACGCCCCAUAGGUGGCAGUGUUGAGGCUGAAAGGAGACUAGUAAAAUUAUUAAAAUUACAAACUCAAGGAGGAAGGGACAAAUGCAAAUGGCUUUUGUCAUGUCAGGUUAAAUACAUGUUUUUAGCAUAUUAUUGAACAACAGAAGUUGAUUUUAACACUAAGAGAGAAUGUGAAACUUUAAAUCUUUAAAUAGAAACACAAGAGGUUUUGAUGCAAGUAAAUGUUUGUGAACUUCUGGCUUUGUAAUCCAUGUUUUUUAUCGUAAAAUUGUUGGCGUUGAAGGUGAAAAGCCUUAAAGAUGAACAAAGGGACGAUCGCCACCUUGUCAGCCUAUAAUUAACUGAUCUCUCUGGCAUCAGGAGCGUGCCUUAUGGCCAGUGCUAGCUUGUUGUUCUCGUUGAAUAAGUUGUAACUGUAGGUAAAAGGAUUCAAUUCGUAGAAAAUAAUAAAACUUUACCUGUGGACUGAACUCAGUGUUGAACUUUACUAGCUUUAUCUGUAGAGGAGCGGAAAAAAACAACUAAAUGCUCUGUGUUUACUCACAGCAACUAUAAGUUCCUGUACAUCCAUCUUUUUUUUUUCGUCUUCUUUUUCUUCUUUCUGCAGUGGUAGUGUCAUUUAUUUAAGAAGUAGAAACAAACUGGUGUUGUCACUAAUUAAAAGUUAGAAUAUUCCUCGAAAAGCUUUGGUGGAGGGAAAAGUCCUUGAAUAACCAAAACCAAUUUUCCCCUAAAUAAUGGCCUUGAAUUGGUCAUUAGUGUUUUCUUUUUGAGGCAAAUAGACAUGUUAUAGCUGUGUUAAAACUUUAUGAGCACAGGCCCAGCUGGACAGCUCUGUGGUGAGGCUGUUGGAAACAAGUCUGAUGAGGUUGGCAAGUCCCAGCCAAACCCAAAGUUUUGGGCCCCGAAGCCCAAACAACAAGCUGUGAAGGGAAGUGGAAUGUUGUGUUGGUUUGUUUGAAUGCACAGCACUUAGGCAUAGAUUUCCUGAACGGUGCAGCUUCAAGUGCAAAAUAUGAACACAAUUCAUUUAUUAUUAUUGUUAUUCCUAGGUGACAGCCUCUGUUGUUUCAAUCAUCCUCUGGGAAAGUAAAAACAGAACUUGAGUCCAGACUGGGGUUGAUCCCUUGAGUUUAUCUUAUCAGCUCCUUCACCUGGUGCAUCCUGAAAGGCCUCUGUCUGAAGAAGCACUACGGAAUUUAUUUUUGUCCUGCUACGGUUGUGGAAGUUUGGGAGUGACUUAUUUACCUGGACUAAAGCCACUUUUCAUUGAAGAGAAAUACAUGUGUUCCCCUUUAGAGGUACGCGAGUGUGUUUUUGCAUGUGUGCUCUGUUUCUAUUUGUCCGCCCUGUUUUUUGUAAAUCAUUUUCUUUUUAAGACCCAUUAGACCUCAUGGGGACCAAAGUCUACUUCUAAUGAGGCAGAACCUGAUUUCUGUGGGGUUCGCUUAAGUCAUUAUCCGUGCUAGUGAACAUUAUUUAACACUAAAUUUGUAUUGUAAUGCCAUUAGGUAAUGCUCUCCCUGCAGCAUCUCAAAGACAGAAAGCAUUACAUCAGAUCAUACAGUAAUGGACUGGCAGCUCCUAAAGAGCCUCAGGACACUCUUCUGGCCGGGACCAAAGGUCACUCUGUUCAAGGGUGAAUCAUACAGCAUGGGAGGUGCAUGAUGUUUGGAAGUGAGUGUGUCGCUGCAUAUACAGUGUGGGCUAAACCAUCUGCACCUCACCACAGUCAGGGAGUGUUACGAAACAGGAUCCCUGUCUGUAUAUAGGUAUGAACGCGAGAGGAAAACACACGCCCUUCAGCAUCCUCAUCUGCAUCUCAACAGAUCCUGUUUUUAGGGCCAGCUAUAGAGGGUAUCACUAAUUUACAAACACACACACACGUUAGUGGUAAGCGUUGGAGGAAGGGGGCUAUUGAGAGCCUUUAAACAAAAAGACAUUUUUAGAAAGGUGUUCAUAAGCUAGAAAACAAAGAAGGGAAGUGACAUGAUGUCCCGCGGGGAAUCUGAGGGUCACGGCUGACAUGGUGUACACGCCUAUGGAGCAGCCUCGUACAUAUAUUCGCACAGUCACUGACUCACCCUUAAACACACACGCAGACCCACCCAGAGUGACAAACACUGCCGAGGUCGCAUGAGUUGUUCUCAAAAUACCUUUUUUCCUUUUCUUCGUACGAAUUUAUCAAUACUGGGAUCUUGGGGAAGUUUACUUCCCUCUCCAGGAGACUACAAGAAAUUCAUGUUGACUUGAGGGAUGUUUUGUCACACACACAUG